GCCUGGAUAGCUCAAUUGGUUAGAGCAUGGUGCUGAUAAUGCCAAGGUUGCAGGUUCAAUUCCCCAUAUGGGACA
rnacentral:tRNA from 1 species